rnacentral:rRNA from 1 species
CUCGUGAUAGAAGGGACAUUAUGCUCAACAUUCAACUCUGAAUCUAGAGUGGAGGAGCAAAACUGGCACGCGCCUGUCACUGUGUCCUCGCGAGGGGCAUAGCCCAUAAUUCUCAGGGCUUAACUAGGAUUUCACAGCCCGGUUAAAGUCUUUUGGCGGUAGCUCUGAAUUAGAACUACAUGGUCCUAAAAGGUGGUGGCGGGCCGCCUUCCAUAUCCUUAUAGUUACAGGUCCUCGCGACCAUACCUGCGCCAGGGCGGUGGGGAAUUAAUGGCGUUAUGCUGCGGCGACUAAGGGGAGGGGAAACUCACCUUAACACUUAGGCGACUCAUCGUUUACGAGCGUGGAGGUAGCAGGGUAUCUAAUGCGUGUUCUCUCCUCAGUGCUUUCGACUCUUCGGCGUCAGUUAGUGGGGAGGGGAGUCGCUUUCGAUCACCUGGUUUGUCCUCCACAUCUACUACGACGUGUGAUCAGUGCUACAGGUGGAUUUCCGCUCUCCUCUGUGCUGCAGCUCAAGUUUCCCAGUUUCCAAUGACCCUCAGCGUCGGUUGAGUCCGGUGGCAAGUUUGACACUCAAUGGACUUGACGAGGGCCCGCACAUGCGGUGGAGCAUGUGGUUUAAUUCGAAGCAACGCGAAUAACCUUACCAGGUCUUGACAUCGCUCUGACCACCCUAGCGAUAGGGCUUUCCCUUCGGGGACAGAGUGACAGGUGGUGCAUGGUUGUCGUCAGCUCGUGUCGUGAGAUGUCUGGGUUAGGUCCCGUCAAGGUGCAAGCAGUUACUCUUGCACUUGUUAGUUGCCAGCAUAUCAGCUGGGCAGUAUUAGGUGACUGCCGGUGACAAACCUUGAUGACUCAGGUGGGGUUGCUCCGUCAGACUCUUCAUGCUCCUUAUGACCUGGAAGAUUACCCUACGUGUUGCCUCCGGAUAGGAGUCAAUGGGCCGUGUCUGAGUCCGCAAGGUUUGGCCGAUCACCACAAAUCUGUUUUCAGUUCGGCUACGCAGUCGUUGCAACUUGAGUGAGCCGUGUAGCUGGCAUCAGCUAGCUAAUGCGCCGCGGGUCCAUCAUGUCCGUGACAGCCGAAUACCGUCUUUCGGUCCUUGUACACAUGCGCGUGUCACAGGACACGUGAGUCCGGUAUUAGCUCCGAAGUUUCCGGUGAGUUAUCCCAGUCUUACAGGACAGCGUCGUACGCGGAUCGUGAAUAUAGCUCACGCCGUCCGCCGCUA